GCCCAAGUGGCGGAACUGGCAGACGCGGUGGCCUUAGGAGCCACUGCCUGCGGGCGUGUGAGUUCGAAUCUCACCUUGGGUACCA
rnacentral:tRNA from 1 species